UACGUAGGGGGCAAGCGUUGUCCGGAUUUAUUGGGCGUAAAGAGCGUGUAGGCGGCCAUGCAGGUCCGUUGUGAAAACUCGAGGCUCAACCUCGAGACGUCGAUGGAAACCGCAUGGCUAGAGUCCGGAAGAGGAGAGUGGAAUUCCUGGUGUAGCGGUGAAAUGCGCAGAUAUCUGAAGGAACACCGGUGGCGAAGGCGGCUUGCUGGGCCAGUUCUGACGCUGAGGAGCGAAAGCGUGGGGAGCGAACAGGAUAGAU
rnacentral:rRNA from 1 species